rnacentral:rRNA from 1 species
CCUACGGGUGGCAGCAGUGGGGAAUAUUGGACAAUGGGGGCAACCCUGAUCCAGCCAUGCCGCGUGCGUGAAGAAGGCCCUCGGGUUGUAAAGCACUUUCAGCGAGGAAGAACGCCUGGUGGUUAAUACCCAUCAGCAAAGACAUCACUCACAGAAGAAGCACCGGCUAACUCCGUGCCAGCAGCCGCGGUAAUACGGAGGGUGCGAGCGUUAAUCGGAAUUACUGGGCGUAAAGCGCGCGUAGGUGGCUUGAUAAGCCGGUUGUGAAAGCCCCGGGCUCAACCUGGGAACGGCAUCCGGAACUGUCAAGCUAGAGUGCAGGAGAGGAAGGUAGAAUUCCCGGUGUAGCGGUGAAAUGCGUAGAGAUCGGGAGGAAUACCAGUGGCGAAGGCGGCCUUCUGGACUGACACUGACACUGAGGUGCGAAAGCGUGGGUAGCAAACAGGAUUAGAUACCCUAGUAGUC